rnacentral:lncRNA from 1 species
CCAGAACCAAUGCACUCUUCUUCAAUAACCAAAAGCAGCAUCAAGAAUCUUCAAAACCAGGUAUGUACAUGCUUCUCAGUCUUAGAUCCCUUUCCUAGUAGCAUUUGGUCAAUAAUAUAGACUAAAUAUAUCAUUUAAUGAAUGAACCUAAAACGUUGAUUUUUGCUUAUAAUAGUGACCGGAGAGAGUACUUAUUUACUGAUUUGUUAAUUUUUGUAGCCAAAGUUCAAGAACUGUUUGUGUAUGAGAUCAAUGAACGUGAUAGAGGAAGUCCUGCAUACCUUAGACUAAGUCAAAAAUCAGUGAACUCACUUGGAGAUUUAGUACCAUUCAGCAACAAACUCUAUUCAGGAAACUUGGAAAAAAGGUUAGGUAUAACUUCAGGUUUAUGUAUACUGAUCCAGAAUGAACCUGAGAAAAAGGGUGAUAGAUAUGAAGCAAUUUACAGCUUCUACUUUGGAGACUAUGGUCAUAUAUCAGUACAAGGACCUUAUCUCACAUACCAAGACACAUAUCUUGCUAUAACAGGUGGUUCUGGAAUCUUUGAAGGUGUUUAUGGACAAGUUAAACUUCAACAACUUGUGUUCCCAUUUAAGCUGUUCUACACUUUUUACUUGAAGGGUGUUGCUGAUUUGCCAGCUGAUUUACUUGGAAAGCCUGUUGAUCCUUCACCACAUGUUGAACCAUCUACUGCUGCUAAGGCUACUGAGCCUCAUGCCUCUUUACCAAACUUCACCAACUGAUCAUCAUCAUCCUCAUGAGUUUUUGAUUUUUGAGCAAAAAAAUAAAUUGUAGUUGUUUUGGUUGUUCUAUGUCAUUUAAUUUUAGUCUUGUUUUGUACUGUUUUAGAAAUUAUUUAUGUGUUAGGUUAAGCAUAAUUGGACUUACCUGUCUUUUUUCUGGAAAUCAAUUUACAUCACUUAUGUUGAGCUUAUUCUAGAUCUCUUGAUGAGACUACAAAGAGUUGUUGGAUCUUAGAUUUAGAGCCUCUGUAGUGGCUGCAGUGUUG